UCCUGCUGUAAAUCGAAUUCUGUAACGUUAGCAUAGUUUAGCAAACGUUAAGCAGAUUUUACAUCUUAAUUUUAAUAUACAUUUUAGUGGUACUAACAUUAACAACAUUACUGAAUUGACUGGUGGCAGCCUGCAUCACAUAGAAGAUGAACAGGGGGACUGGGGAAACAGAUUGAAGAAGGUGGAACAACUAGCUCAGUCCUUCCAGCAGUGGCCUUUGUCCUCUCGCUUCAAACCAAGGCUGUCCCGGCCAUGGCAGCCAUCCUCUAUAUGGAAGCUUUUCCCCCGUCAAUGUAUGGCUAUCAACAUUGCACGCACCAGCAUCUCUGCAGUAACGUGGUGCCAUAUCGGUUUGUGCUGUCAUGUAUGACAUUUGACCACAGGAUUUGACAAGACGACACAAACAGAUCUGUGAGCAGGCUACUGUAUGUCCGGAGGACUUUGUUCCCUUUUGUGUGACAUUGCACUUCCAUGUUUUUAUUUUUAAUUUUUAUUUUACCUUUAUUUAACCAGGCAAGUCAGUUAAGAACAAAUUCUUGUUUUCAAUGACGGCCUAGGAACAGUGGGUUAACUGCCUGUUCAGGGGCAGAACGACAGAUUUGUACCUUGUCAGCUCGGGGGUUUGAACUUGCAACCUUCUGGUUACUAGUCCAACGCUCUAACCACUAGGCUACCCUGUGUCAUAAUAACAAAAAAAAAAUGACAUUUGUUUUCAGCUAACUGUAGUUUUGACUGCCCUCUACUUCAAAGGACAUACAUGUGUUUGCACUUGAGAAGGAACAGGCCAAGAUGGGUGGGAGGAUCUUCCUGUUCACCAGUUACAGUGAGCUAUGGCAUAACUACAGUAUGUGUGUGAGAAGCUGGAGGAGGUGUAUGGGAUUGAACCUUGAAUCCAGUACAGAAGAAAAAUUCAGUUGCCAUCUCAUCAACAAACUAGAAUGGUCCAAACACACCAAGACAGUUGUGAAGAGGGCACGACAAAGCCUAUUCCCCCUCAGGAAACUAAAAAGAUUUGGCAUGGGUCCUGAGAUCCUCAAAAGGUUCUCCAGCUGCAACAUCGAGAGCAUCCUGACUGGUUGCAUCCCUGCCUGGUACGGCAAUUGCUCGGCCUCUGACCACAAGGCACUACAGAGGGUAGUGCAUACGGCCCAGUACACCACUGGGGCUAAGCUGCCUGCCAUCCAGGACCUCUACACCAGGCGGUGUCAGAGGAAGGCCCUAAAAAUUGUCAAAGACCCCACCCCUAAACUGUUCUCUCUACUACCAGAGUGCCAAGUCUAGGACAAAAAGGCUUCUCAACAGUUUUUACUCCUGAUCAGGUAAUCAAAUGGCUACCCAGACUAUUUGUAUUGUGUGCCCCCCAACACUUCUUUUUACACUGUUGCUACUCUCUGUUUAUCAUAUAUGCAUAGUCACUUUAACUAUACAUUCAUGUACAUACUACCUCAAUCAGCCUGACUAACCGGUGUCUGUAUGUAGCCUCGCUACUUUUAUAGCCUCGCUACUGUAUAUAGCCUGUCUUUUUACUGUUGUU